rnacentral:rRNA from 1 species
GACGAACGCUGGCGGCGUGCUUAACACAUGCAAGUCGAACGAUGAAGAAGAGAAACGCGAACUUCGGUUCAAAUUUCACUUCGGAUUAGUGGCAGACGGGUGAGUAACGCGUGAGCAACCUACCUCUUACAAAGGGAUAGCCUCGGGAAACCGUGAUUAAUACCAUAUGACACAUUCAUAAGGCAUCUUAAGAAUGUUAAAGCUACGGCGGUAAGAGAUGGGCUCGCGUCCCAUUAGCUAGUUGGUGAGGUAACGGCCCACCAAGGCGACGAUGGGUAACCGGCCUGGGAGGGUGAACGGUCACAUUGGAACUGAGACACGGUCCAAACUCCUACGGGAGGCAGCAGUGGGGAAUAUUGCACAAUGGAGGGAACUCUGAUGCAGCGACGCCGCGUGAGCGAUGAAGGAAUUCGUUUCGUAAAGCUCUGUUCUAUGGGAAGAAAAGGACUGUACCAUAGGAGAAAGCCCCGGCUAAAUACGUG